GAGGUAACUCUCAUUUCCAGGUUGCUAUGUUUAGUUGCCUCAGAAAUCUACGUUGUUGUCAAUGUCAGAUUGUACUAGCCAGAGACACAGCAAGAACCUGAGUUCUCCCCAGAAAUGGGGUCCCUUAUGAUUGAUUGGAUGAGCUGGUGCUUGACACGGAAGUUACUCGCUGUAGUUGCUGAUGAAUCUCCCAGGGUGAGAAACUUCCCUCACUCACAGAAGAGAGAUCAGAAGAGUCACAUCCAUUCGAGGUCGAGAUUUACAAGGACAAGUGCAGAUACCCACCUGUCAAGAAUGAUCAAGGAGCACCAUGCAACAAUAUGAACUAAACAACCCUAGUUCACUGCUAGGUCUAACUGUCUUUGUCUAUCAGGGAAUACCAUCAGUUGGUUUGUUGAUGUUGUGACAAGUUAUUCAGGAACUGAGAUGAUUGUACAAGAAUGCGUUCCUGGCUGUGAUCAUACUUCUUGUGUGUUGUGUGUCUUAAACUUGAUUACUAGACGGUGGAGAACAUUGUACUGUUUUUGAUGACCGAUGGGUUAUCAGGGCACUUGAUUUCAAUAAAUCAAAACGUGCAUUGGAA